rnacentral:lncRNA from 1 species
GUAUUCAAGUCUACUUUUGCUUUAAAAUUUCAAUUUAUCAAUUUAAAAAAUCAUAUCAAAACCUUAUACACAAUGGCACCUCUCCAUUUGAAAUACACAUAAGUUCAUAAGUUUGAUCCCUAGAAAUAUUAAAGUAUUAGUCCAUAUUUACUGGAAACUUAGCACAUGAGGAAAAAAAAAAACUGUUAAGUGACCUCACAAUCCCUUUUAGUUAGCUCUGCAAAAUAUUUAGUGCAAAAUGAAAAUAAUCAUCGCAGUCAAAAUUAUCUCAAAAUGAUGUUGAGUUGUCAGUCAUACCCAAUGCGAUUUUUAGUUUCUAAAUGUUGGGUAGCCAAUCAAGAAGAUUCUUCUUCCAAAGGACGAUUAAAGAUGGUUUUGGUUACCAAUGAUGGAAUGAAACACAGUAUUUACCAAUGUUUGAGAGAACAACGCCUAUUUUACAUUCUUACAGAAGAGUGAUUUUUUUAAUUCUCAAGUACUACCUUCGAGAAUUUGGGAUGUGAUUGAAUUUCUUAAAUGAAGACUCACUAAUAUAGACAUAUGUGUGUUUCUACAUAAUUUACAAAGUUGGCAGAUUUUAUAAUUCACUUAAUAUAUAUAUUUUUAGAAACUGGAAGCAUAUAUUUAAAUUUAUUGACACAUUAACUUUGGGUCAAGACAUAGAAAUGAUUAUUAUUUGCUGUAUUUUUAUUGUCCAAAUUUAGUUGUACAGUUGUAAAUAGAUCCUUCAAGCCUCAUGAUCAGAAAAGUAAUGUGAGCCCCUAGUCCUUAAGCCUUAGUUUUGACUUAUAUCUUUAUCAUAAAUGUACAUAAAUUCCAAUGAAUGCCAGACUUCAAUGUGUCCAUGACAAAGUAGGAAACUUCAUUAGAUGUUCUUAUAUGUAUAAGACAUUAUUUGUCAAGACUAAGACUAACACCUCCAGCCAGAAGAAAUAGCCAGAAACUUCAUGUGUUUCUGCUAUGUUUGUGCUGGUUCUUUUCUUCUUAUGGUGACAUGCCUUGACUAUGUCCCUAACAGCUAUUAAUGAAAGUCUGCAAAUCUUUAAUUUGUUAACAGAAAUCCAAAAGAGGGCAUCACCUAGAAAAUGUUUGUUUAAAAAUGAAAGGUAAGGAACAUGUCUCAGAAUGAAAGGGACAAAAUCCAUCUGUUCACUAUCCUUCCAAAUGAUGACAGAUUUGAGAAUGAUAAUGACACCUGGCUUAACGGGAUGAUUUACACACAAAACAUUUGUGGGUAAUACUAAAAUCAUUAUAUAAAUAUGUUUCUUGUUCCAUAUAUAGUUCUCUUUCCAUGUUUUUAGCCAAGGAUCUCUUAACAAUGGAAUGCUCUUGAGCGCAAAAGGUAAUUAUUCAAGAUUUAUUGUUGCCUCCAAUUGUUUGGGGUUCAUAGUCAUGCCUGCAGGCAUCAGGCUCUUUGCCAUAUACACCAUGUGUCCUUGAGGAUCUGUGCCAGGAAUGAGGCGGUCCGCCUGCAGUGCUGUCCACAACACUUAAGCAACAACCUCAUCACAGUCAGUGGCUGGACCCCAAAGGUCCUGCAUCACUCCUGCUAAGCUAAUGUGGACCUUAACAAUCACUUGUGCAGAUGCAUGUAGUUUUUAAAAGACUGAAAUGGGUAUCAUAACAUUGGGAUGACAACUCACACACACACAAAACAAUGAGAAUGCUUUUAAAUACUUUAAAUUUAAGGCAAUAAUCAUGGACAUGUUAACUUUAGUAACAGGGCAAUGAUCCCAGAUCAUGAUGUUAGCCCAACAGAGCUUACUAAAAAAAUAAAAUUAAAGAAUAUUAAAAAAAUAAAAAGAGCUUUCUUUAACCAAUGAACUAAAACUGAAUUCUGUGGCCAAUGCUGGGAUCUUGUGGUCAGCUGUGUUCAAUGUCCUUACAGAUACCAGAAAAACUGGAUCAAGGUGAGCCGGAGAAUUUGACAUCUGCUCUCUGUGGAGUAGUUCAGCAGCUACAAUCUGUUCCAUAUGGCAGGCUGUGUUUGGCAUGACUGAGUUCGUCUCAUUGCAGGGAAUAAUCUCUGACCAAGAGGAGGCAGUCUACACUGGGUCAGGAUGCAGAUGGAUGGCUUUGUUGUUCCUAAAACAAACAUGCAUCCCCAAAAGCCAGGCAGAAGCUGAGUCCUAUCAAGCCAGUUCUGUAGGGCAGGGAUUGAGGGAACUUGGAUAUAGGACAUGUCUGCAAGGACUUCCAAAAUGAUCCUGACCGUGAUCUUUCCUCUUAACUUAAUUCUCUACCAUGAAUUUACCUAAUUCAUCAGAAGUCUGAGGAGUUAAAUUGGGACUGAACAGCAAGCAACAGAACAAAUCACCAUCACAAAGGGAAAACCAUCCCUUCACUGAGAAGCUGGGAAACACAAUGAUCAACCGUCAAUAAAUUCAAACUAGGCAAAGUUCUACCACCACAGUUGACUUCUAAAGUUUUUCUUAUAAUUUUUUAAUACAUAUUUCUCCUCUGCUGUGUCUACAACUCAUAAAGCAGAAUGGUCCCCUCAUCCCAGGUGGUCUGUGACUUGUAAAUCUGGGAAUCUCAUCACAUGUUGUUGAUCACCCCCAUCAACAUUAGCAGGUGAAAUUUCAUGGUGGUGAGCUCCUCGUGUUUAAUCGCUGCAUCAGGACAGCCAAAUGAGGCUGGAGCAGCAACACUGGGCUUGGUCCCAAGAUCAAAGCUGAGCAAAGGAAAGAUGCUUCUGGCUAGCACAUGGCAGAUAGACAGGACCAAGCCAGUGGACAGACCGUGGCCAGAUGAAGUAUGGACUCCAGACAGUGACUGGACAGGGACCAUAGCGGGGGGGGGGUGUCUAUUUUGGAAGCAAUAAAGGGAAGAAAGCGUGUGAGACCCUAACUUACAUUCACCACCAUGCCUUCGAAAAUGACCUGUGGUCAUAAUUCACAUGAGCAUGACAUUUCUGAACCACAGGACACAGAACUCUCAUUUGGCGCUCAGCUCAGCCUACUGUGCAUGUCUGAGUGCUGGGAGGAGAAACAGGCUUUAUUUAGAAAUAAAAGUGAAGCUCAAGGGACUGUGUCUUAGAAGUAGGGUUUGCUGGAACCUGCUUUCUUAUGAAAAGGGAAGUGAACAGUCAAGGAAAUCAGAGAAGAGAAACGGACUAUCAUCUCAUGCCAGGUCCUUUACACUCCUGGUUCUGUGUGUAGCUGGAUACCAGGCCAGAGGAAGGUGGCCAAUAGCAGCAGAGCUGUCAGCUGCUGACAAGCAGCACAGCCCUCCUAAGAACCAGGUAAUGCUGGAGAGCCACCUGAAAUUAGUGACAUGGAGGCAAAUAGGAGCUGAGGAUGGCAAGCUCUGUUUCCCUGGAAACUUUUACAGGUUAUCUUUUGUUACUGACCUAUCCUCCAGUUUUGUAUAUCCUAGAAUAACAGCAAAAUUGGAAAUAGUCAUAAUGGAAAUAAUAUGUUCAAAAACAGAAAGAAUUCACAUUGCAGCUCAGCAGUAACAAAUCUGACUAAUAUCCACGAGGAUGUGGGUUCAACCCCUGACCUCACUCACUGGGUUAAGGAUCUGGUGUUGAAAUGAGCUUUGGUGUACGUCACACACAUGACUUGGAUCUGGUGUUGCUGUGGUUGUGGUGUAGGCCAGCAGCUGCAACUCCUAGUUUGACCCCUAGGCCUGGAAAAUUCCAUAAGCUGCAUGGGCAGCCCUAAAAAGAAAAGAGGAAAAUACUUUUAUAAAUCUGUAAAUAAUAUAAUGCCUCAAAUAAAAAUGAACUAAAAUAAAUCUGUCAAGUCCUUAAAUUUCUUUUCACUGCAUCAUUUCACCGUAGGUAAGGAGACCUUGUUAUGUUUUUUUUUUUUAAUAUACAAUGAUUUUGUUUUCAUUAUAGCUGGUUUACAGUGUUCUGUCAGUUUUCUACUGUACAGCACAGUGACCCAGUUACACAUACAUGUAUAGAUUCUUUUUUCUCACAUUAUCAUGCUCCAUCAUAAGUGACUAGAUAUAGUUCCCAGUGCUAGACCUUCUUAUAAUAUGAAAUGCACACAUUUCUUCCGUAUUUUUUUAGUUAUCACCAACAGAAUUUCUGAAACUUACUGUUAUAUACUAAAUUGUACUCAAGCAUCACAUUUAAAGCAAUUCAUUGUUAAUGUCUAAAUAUAGAUUUCUUCUUUAACUUUAUUAUUUUCAUUCAUCUGUACAUUUAUUCACUCACUCAACCAAUAUCAAUGGAGCAUUUAUUGAGUUUCAAGCACUUUAAUCCCUAGGAAUACAGUGAAUAGAAAAGACCGGGGAUCUGUGCAUUGAAGUUUACAUUCUAAUACCGGCAGGUAUGGGAGUAGGGGGUAAACAGUGAGCAAAUGAGUGAAAAAAAUCAUUCUGUUGGUAAUAAGUAAAAAAUAUAGAAAAAAAGAUUUGAAAAAAUAUUGGCAUGCUAGGGGUUAGGGAGGGCAGGGAUGGAGGCGUUCCUGCCGUAUAGAGUGCUCGUCAUUGGUAAGGUAGCCAGUGACCAAAAGUGUGGUGAAUGUCAAGGCGAGAUGCCUGUCCUAGCUGGAGGAGCAUGGUCCAGGUGAAGGCUCCAAGGACUGUCCUCAAAAGGAACAGCCAGGGGCCAGUGUAGCUGUUGGAGGAGGCAGAUGGCAUGACAAGGUAACAGAUCCUGGAAGUCUUUGUAGGGCAAGGGGAUAUGUCUGGCUUUUACUCCAGCGGAGAUGGGAAGCCAUGAAAGAUUUGAGAAGAAUUGUUUAGUGAUCUGGCUUCAAUAGCCAAAGGGCUUGCUGGCCACCAUAUCAAGCAUUUGGGGCAUCCAGGAAAAACCAGGGAGAUGGUGAGGAAGCUGCCACUGCUCCCCAGGUAAGCCAUGGUGUUGGCUUCAAUGUAGGUGACAGAGGUCCUCAGAGGGAGCAUUUUCUAAACCCACCGCGAAGGCUGGUUUACAGACUAUCAUCUUCUCGCAUGUGCUAGAAGGGGCCAGGGAGCUCUUUAGGGUCACCUUUAUAA